rnacentral:rRNA from 1 species
GUGGUAAUGCCGGAUGCUCCAGUUGAUCGCAUGGUCUUCUGGGAAAGCCUUUGCGGCAUGGGAUGGGGUCGCGUCCUAUCAGCUUGAUGGCGGGGUAACGGCCCACCAUGGCUUCGACGGGUAGCCGGCCUGAGAGGGCGACCGGCCACAUUGGGACUGAGAUACGGCCCAGACUCCUACGGGAGGCAGCAGUGGGGAAUAUUGCACAAUGGGCGCAAGCCUGAUGCAGCGACGCCGCGUGAGGGAUGGAGGCCUUCGGGUUGUAAACCUCUUUUGUUAGGGAGCAAGGCAUUUUGUGUUGAGUGUACCUUUCGAAUAAGCACCGGCUAACUACGUGCCAGCAGCCGCGGUAAUACGUAGGGUGCAAGCGUUAUCCGGAAUUAUUGGGCGUAAAGGGCUCGUAGGCGGUUCGUCGCGUCCGGUGUGAAAGUCCAUCGCUUAACGGUGGAUCCGCGCCGGGUACGGGCGGGCUUGAGUGCGGUAGGGGAGACUGGAAUUCCCGGUGUAACGGUGGAAUGUGUAGAUAUC